AGGCGGGAGGGGCCCGCCGAGGGGCUCGCGGAUCCCUCCCCGGCGUCCUUGUCGCAGACGAGGGCCCAUCACCGGCUUGCACACUCCCGCGGACGGGGAGCUCACCACCUCUCAGGGGACAGCUCCUCCCUACGACUCCCCGUGGUACCCUGGAUCCCUGCUCGCGAGACACAGUCACGGUGACCAGAGAGUCUCAGGCAUUCCAGAAAACAGGAGCUGCUAUUGUCGGUCAAGCCAACCAGCGCACUUUCCAUGCGGCCCACCCCAAAGCCAGACAGGAUAUGAAGAGUAGUACCCUGUCGCACCAGGCCUUCUGCCUGCCUCAUCCAACCCUCACGACAUCACGGCCGGUUUCCUCAUCCUACACCCAACGCAACUGAGGCCACAGAGGCAGAGGGGCUUGCUGCAAGUCACACAGCCAGUCAAUCAGGGAUGGAAUCAGGACUGACCCCAGACUGGGCAACAAUUCUUAAAUGAAGCUGCCCAGUUUCUCCGCAGAAAUUCUCUAAACAGCCAGGAGGCCAUUGGUUCUUGGAAAAGGGAGUCGUGUGUGCAAGACAACCCUGCGUUCAAAUCCCCGCGAAGUUGCUUCCUGACUGUGACGCCUUGGGAUAAUGACACAACCUCUCUGAGCUAUGUUCGCCUCACCCUUGUUAACGACUUGCGCAUUUAUUAAAAGAACUUUAUGACUACCUCCUCAAGCACAGAACUAUACUUGCAAACCCAACAGCAAGUAUGGGACAGGAUGACCAAGGCUAACACAAUUCACAGCUGGAAAUUUCACAGCAGCAGUUCCAGCCAGGAGUUUCCUGAUACCCAGUUGCUUAAAUACAGGCUGCAGACGAAGCAGUGGAAGCCACAGUUCAGACACUGGGGU